rnacentral:rRNA from 1 species
GACGAACGCUGGCGGCGUGCCUAAUACAUGCAAGUUGAGCGAUGAAGAUUGGUGCUUGCACCAAUUUGAAGAGCAGCGAACGGGUGAGUAACGCGUGGGGAAUCUGCCUUUGAGCGGGGGACAACAUUUGGAAACGAAUGCUAAUACCGCAUAACAACUUUAAACAUAAGUUUUAAGUUUGAAAGAUGCAAUUGCAUCACUCAAAGAUGAUCCCGCGUUGUAUUAGCUAGUUGGUGAGGUAAAGGCUCACCAAGGCGAUGAUACAUAGCCGACCUGAGAGGGUGUUCGCCCACAUGGGGACUGAGACCCGGCCCAAACUCCUACGGGAGGCAGCAUUAGGGAAUCUUCGGCAUUGGACGAAGUCUGACCGAGCAACGCCGCGUGAGUGAAGAAGGUUUUCGGAUCGUAAAACUCUGUUGGUAGAGAAGAACGUUGGUGAGAGUGGAAAGCUCAUCAAGUGACGGUAACUACCCAGAAAGGGACGGCUAACUACGUG